rnacentral:rRNA from 1 species
GACGAACGCUGGCGGCGUGCUUAACACAUGCAAGUCGAACGGAAAGGCCCUGCGUUUGUGGCGUGCUCGAGUGGCGAACGGGUGAGUAACACGUGAGUAACCUGCCCUUGACUUUGGGAUAACUUCAGGAAACUGGGGCUAAUACCGGAUAGGAGCUCCUGCUGCAUGGUGGGGGAUGGAAAGUUUCGGCGGUUGGGGAUGGACUCGCGGCUUAUCAGCUUGUUGGUGGAGUAGUGGCUUACCAAGGCUUUGACGGGUAGCCGGCCUGAGAGGGUUACCGGCCACAUUGGGACUGAGGUACGGCCCAGACUCCUACGGGAGGCAGCAGUGGGGAGUAUUGCGCAAUGGGCGGAAGCCUGAUGCAGAAACGCCGCGUGCGGGAUGACGGCCUUCGGGUUGUAAACCGCUUUCGCCUGUGACGAAGCGUGAGUGACGGUAAUGGGUAAAGAAGCACCGGCUAACUACGUG